UCCCUGGUGGUCCAGUGGGUAAGACUCUGUCCUAACAAUGCAGGGGGCCCAGGUUCGAUCCCUGGUCGGGGAA